UAGUAUGGGGAUCUGCCCGAUAGAGGGGGAUAACUACUGGAAACGGUGGCUAAUACCGCAUAAUGUCUACGGACCAAAGCAGGGGCUCUUCAGACCUUGCACUAUCGGAUGAACCCAUAUGGGAUUAGCUAGUAGGUGGGGUAAAGGCUCACCUAGGCGACGAUCUCUAGCUGGUCUGAGAGGAUGAUCAGCCACACUGGGACUGAGACACGGCCCAG
rnacentral:rRNA from 1 species